UAUGUCAGAGUAUAGCUAAGAAGUAUAGCAUCUCCCUUACACCAAUAAGUCAUCCG
rnacentral:tRNA from 1 species